GCUGUCAACCACAUUUCCAACAGCUGAUCCUAAGCAUAGAAGUAUUAUUGGUUACCUUUAGCCCACAUUUGUGGAAAUCCUUUAUUUUUAUACAAUUUUAAGAAAUUGGAAAGAAAAAAAUCAACAGAAAAAAACCAAUAUUUUAUCCCCAAAGAGUUUGGAUUUGAAAUGGUAAAGAUGGAACCACACAGUGCAAACCAACAAUAGCAAUAACAGAUUCCUUCAUAACAAAUAUAUUUUUUCAGUCUUAGGCAAGCGAGGAGACAAAACUGUGGGCAAUUAAAUUGCAUUUGGAGCAGUGUUUUGAAGUGAAUUUGUAAAGAUACUUAAUGCUCCCUAUAAGAUUGAUGCAGCAGUUUUCUGUAUGAACUGUACUGCUGGCCAAGGACCUGUCUGGGCAAGGGGUUCAAUAGUGAACAAACUGCAAACCCUGAAGGUCAGCCCCCACCUCUCAGUGUCAUGUGAGGCAUCCUGCCACAGGAGGAGGGGGCACUCUUCAGUUUGAGGUACUUUUAGAAAUUCCAGCAUUUCCAGCAGGUGUGUGGAUGGAAUGUGUGGCUCCCACAGCAUGAGCAGUCCCUGGCAGAGCUGAGAGGAUGUCCUGCACAGUGCUGUACCUGUCCCUCGUGUGUCUGACCCUGCUGUGCACAGCCCCAGAGAGGUGCUGAUGUUCCCUUGCAGGUGAAGCCAAGUGGGAGCUGCCAGAGCCCCCUGGAUGUUUUGCAUGCCCCCCCAGGCUCAGUCCUGCCCUCAGGAGCACCAGGGGCUGGAACUUGGCAGCACCAUCACUCCCCAGCCCAAGAGCUCGGCUGGGUGGGUGUCUGCAGGAGGACAGUGGCCUCUGGGAAGGGGCUGGCUGGAGAAGGCUCUUGUGGCUGCUGGAGGAGGGCUGGCAGGCUCAUUUGGGACUGCUCUGGCAGCUCCUGGCAGUGCAGGGGAAGCAAGGAUGAGGGAAUGGAGAUACUUUAAACUAUUAAAUGGAAAAGCCAAUUGUCACUGUUCCGUGGGCUGCUAGGAAAGAAGUGAGAGGACAAGUCCAGCCAGUGCUUUUUGUUUAACCCCAGCCAUGCCUCUGUGCUUAGGUGGAAACCGUGCAGAACUUGGUGACUGUUGCAGUGUCAUGGCAGUCCUGGGUGCAGAGCAUCACCCAGGCUGUGGUGUGGUCAGCCAGAGCAGCCUGGUGGAUCUGUUCUGCUGAGGGAGCACAGUGUGGAACAGCAGGAACGGCUGCAGUGUAGCUGGGGAGUUUGCAUGAAGGUUCUUUGUAGCUGGGCUGAAGCUUGCACCAUCCAUUCUUUAUUUCCCAAGUGUACAAAACCCUGUGAAUGCUUUGUUUGUCCUAAGCAGUUGUGAAGCUGGUACAUUGAGACCCCCCCACCCCUUGGUGCUGCUCUUUGGACUCUGGCAGGACUUCCUUUGCCAGGCUGUGGAGUCUGUUGUGAUGAGUGUGUGUUGGUGUGUGCAUGUGUGUGCUCGGCGUUUGUGUGUGUAUGUACAGUACACAUGCAUCUACUGCCUGGUGUAAAUUGUAAAUAUGUAUAUAUGUACAGGUACUUGUAUAUGUAUUAAAAAGAAUGAACCACUACGAUGUCUAUAUACAAAAUUUAUAUAUACACACAUACGCCAUGUUGGGUGGAUUCCACAAGGUGCUGCAGAUCAUUUGUGGUUGUACUAAAGGUUAUGACUCUUCUGCCACUGUAAUUUGCUGUUUCCAGGGACUUACCCUUGGACCUUGAAGUAAUUGAUAACUGAUUCCAGGUACAGGAGCCCUUAGUUAGCCAAGGGAAUGCUAUCCCUGUAUGCAUUACAGUGAUAAGAUCCAUGUAUUACUGUGAAGCUGAUCCUGGCUUUUCUGCCUGGUAGGAGGUCCCCAGUUGCUAAAAUGUGGGAUUGUAUGUGGAGGCUAAAGAUGCAGGAAGCCUUUAAUGCAGCAGCAAGUGAGAGGCAGGUUAUCUGUUGCCCUGCCUGCUGUUCCUCUACCAGCAGCGUUCAGCUUGCAUGGAAAAAGGGAAUUGAGUUUUCCCCAGCUCACUGCCUUCCAACCAAAUGCUUUUGCUUUGCUUUAGCUUUUGCUUUGAUGAAGCUAUUCCUUUUUUGGUUCCAUCUCUGUGGAAAAGAAAAGAGUAUGCUGUUUCCAAGCAUAGGAGUGAUGAUGAUGAUUAUUCCACUCGUGUGGGCUGGUGAACCUCUGGGAUAUUGCUUGUGAACUGACUGGGAAAGCCUUGGUGGUCCUUACCUUUGUUUAGGCUGAAGUGGGGAGUCCUUGCUGGUGACCUGAGAGGCUUCUACCAUUUGCAGCCCUUCGAGGAAGUUCUGUUUGCUUUUUGCCAAGGUAGAUCUCAUCAGAGAAGAAUGCACUUUUAAAAGAAGAAGCUGGAAUGUAGGAGGAGAAUAUAGGCCUUAAAAAUUAGUUCAGAAGCUGAACUUAACAGCAAUGACUGUCCAAGUGAAAAAUUAGUUUUUGAGGUUCCUAAUUCUCCUCUUACCCACUGAUCUUUGUUAGAAGGUCCAGUGCUGGGAUGUUCAAAGAUAAAGAUUUCACUCCUGUUGUGUUGGGAGGAGUAUGGAAUUGUACUGUGGAAGCAGAGGGCUCAUACCCUCUGUCUGCUCUAGCUGUAGCUAGGACAAGUGUCUGCUCUUGGAUUUUGAGCCAGCCCCUUCUUUCCCACCCAAAGAACUGCAUUCAAUAUGAAAAUGUUGAUAUUUUCCCCUCCAAGUAAAAGCUUGUCUUGUUUGAACUAAGUCAUUCUGAACUUGUGCUACUGUGUGCUCUGUGCUAUGGUCGUAGGUACCUCUCGGUGUAUGCUUGUGUGUACUGAAGAAAAUCUGGUUUUGUAUCUCGCAGUCCUCAGUGUGGAAGCCAAGCAAAGACUGAACCAUUUUAAAGUGAGAAGAGAACAAAUCCUUUUCUUCUCAGGCCUGAUGCCUUCCCUCUUGUCUCGCUCUCCCUUUCUCCAUAGAUAUAUAAAUAAACUUUUUUUGGAGCAAAUGGACUUUUUUGCAAGGGAUCUGUAAUCGCCAAAGCAGUGUGAUGCCAGAAGUGACUCUGCCGUUGUUCGGGGAGGGAAGGAGCGUGUUUGUGUUACUGCUGGACACUGCGGGGAGGAGCGAACCGCGAUGGACCCGGGCCCCGCCGCCUGUCCCGCUCCGGCCGGGCACCACCGACCAGCGCCAGCCCCGCGUCCCGCUCGUCACCGCCUUUCCAGCCUUUCCAGAGACUUUGGAGCAGAUUUCCGUUCGCUUUUGUCCCCGCCGCGCCGGGGCCGCUCCCGCCCGGUGUUCGCGGUUGUGCCGUGUCCGAGCCGUUCUCUGUCCCUGUCCCGGCCGCCGCCCCGGCCCCGCCGGCGGACUGUGCUGUCAAUAAACUGUGAUAAACGCUCGUA